UGGGGAAUAUUGCACAAUGGAGGGAACUCUGAUGCAGCGACGCCGCGUGAACGAAGAAGGCUUUCGAGUCGUAAAGUUCUUCUAUAUGGGAAGAUAAUGACGGUACCAUAAGAAAAAGCCCCGGCUAACUACGUGCCAGCAGCCGCGGUAAUACGUAGGGGGCUAGCGUUGUCCGGAAUCACUGGGCGUAAAGGGUUCGCAGGCGGAAAUGCAAGUCAGGUGUAAAAGGCAGUAGCUUAACUACUGUAAGCAUUUGAAACUGCAUAUCUUGAGAAGAGUAGAGGUAAGUGGAAUUUUUAGUGUAGCGGUGAAAUGCGUAGAUAUUAAAAAGAAUACCGGUGGCGAAGGCGGCUUACUGGGCUCAUUCUGACGCUGAGGAACGAAAGCGUGGGUAGCAAACAGG
rnacentral:rRNA from 1 species